GUGGUGGUGUAUUUAUAUAUAUGGUUAAUUUCAUAUAGAUUUCUGCAAAUAUAGUGAGUGAUAAAUAUAUAUUUCUAAAAGGUUCAACUUUAUAUAUUAUUUCUAUAAAAAUUUUAAUAUUUUCAAAUAUAUCUUUCUGAUUUGUUACCGUUAGAGAACCGUUUAUAUUUUUAAUUUAGUCAUCACAAAUGGCACUCCAAAAAUUAUAACAGUAUAAUAUCAAAGAAAUAAAAAUGUCAAAAAUUAACCAAACUUAAAUAUUUAACCUAUGGUUAACUAAAAUUUUUUAAUGAAUUAUAACGCAGGAAUAUAUUUGAAAAUAUUAAGACUUUUAUAGGAACAAUAUAUAAAAAUUAAAUUUUUUAUAGAGAUAUAUUGCUAUU
rnacentral:lncRNA from 1 species